GAAAAAAAAAAAAAAAAGCCCCUGUAAAGAGUCUGAGAGGCCAGCUGGGGGCUGCAGGGACACCCUGGCUCUCCUCCCACCAGGGCACACCCUGGUUGCUCUCCCUCCCUGCCCCUGGGCUGAACCCUUGCAGGUGCCCCCGCUUGCUCCUGCCAGGCGUGGGGGGCGCUCCCAACCAGGCUCUAACCUGGGCGGAUCCUGCCUUGUACCUGCUCCCGCAUCUGUGGGGUUGUAUCUUACACAGGCCCCUUGCCGCGUAGAAGGAAAAUACAACUCAAGUCUGAUUCUGUGCAGUGCAAUUAAAUCCUGCACAUAAACAUUCCCCUCCACCGUUCAUCUGGAGUGGACUAAUGAGAAAGCAGAAUGGGAUAUGAGCUUCUGAUGUUUGAAAAUUGGCUCUCCAAGGGUUUCCAGGAGUUGAUAAUAUAUGGAUAAGGAGGGGUGCCUGCAUUUCACGUGAUCUCAACUGCUGGUGGGGAGUCGCUCCCACGACUGGCCAAGGCCGGAGUCCGAGAGGACAGGGCUUGACGGGAUGAUCCCUGCCUUUUGUCAUCAACAGGAAAAGUAAUAAAUGCCACAAAGAGCCCUGUCACGUGAGCAGGGCUGGGAGAGAACGGCCUUAAAAGGAGCGAUUUAACUCCUGGAUCACGGUCCUUGUCCACGAAAAGCCAAGUUUUAUCCUCUCGC